UACGGAGGGUGCAAGCGUUAAUCGGAAUUACUGGGCGCAAAGCGCACGCAGGCGGUUGGAUAAGUUAGAUGUGAAAGCCCCGGGCUCAACCUGGGAAUUGCAUUUAAAACUGUCCAGCUAGAGUCUUGUAGAGGGGUAGAAUUCCAGGUGUAGCGGUGAAAUGCGUAGAGAUCUGGAGGAAUACCGGUGGCGAAGGCGGCCCCCUGGACAAAGACUGACGCUCAGGUGCGAAAGCGUGGGGAGCAAACAGG
rnacentral:rRNA from 1 species